GAAUGCUGACAUAAGUAACGAUAAAGCGGGUGAAAAGCCCGCUCGCCGGAAGACCAAGGGUUCCUGUCCAACGUUAAUCGGGGCAGGGUGAGUCGACCCCUAAGGCGAGGCCGAAAGGCGUAGUCGAUGGGAAACGGGUUAAUAUUCCCGUACUUGGUGUUACUGCGAAGGGGGGACGGAGAAGGCUAUGUUGGCCGGGCGACGGUUGUCCCGGUUUAAGCGUGUAGGUGUGUGUUCCAGGUAAAUCCGGUUCACUUUAACACUGAGGCGUGAUGACGAGGCACUACGGUGCUGAAGCAACAAAUGCCCUGCUUCCAGGAAAAGCCUCUAAGCAUCAGGUAACAUCAAAUCGUACCCCAAACCGACACAGGUGGUCAGGUAGAGAAUACCAAGGCGCUUGAGAGAACUCGGGUGAAGGAACUAGGCAAAAUGGUGCCGUAACUUCGGGAGAAGGCACGCUGACACGUAGGUGAAGUGAUUUACUCAUGGAGCUGAAGUCAGUCGAAGAUACCAGCUGGCUGCAACUGUUUAUUAAAAACACAGCAC
rnacentral:rRNA from 1 species